UGAGCCGACGUCGGCCGCUUAACCGACUGAGCCACCCAGGCGCCCCUCCCAAUUUAUAUUUUUAAUUAACACUGAUUGGGAAGCAAUUUGAUGCUGCGAUGGAGAGAGGAGAUGACAGAGGAAGAUCCUGAAGGGAAUAGGUCUGACAAGAAGAAAGCCUGACAAUGGCGACUCUGUUGUCUUCUUAAAGAACUGCGCAUAGGAGCUAAACUGACCAGGUGAAUGAAGGAAUUUUCCACUGUGAUUCUCAUCAUCAACUUGGUUCCUCACAUCUAAGUAUUAGCAGGCAGUUGCCCUAGCAGGCAGCGUCUUGCAUCUUUAGGCUAUCCCUAAAAGGCAGGUGGAGAGGAGGUUCUAGUGAAGAAAGGAACGUGGGAGGGAACUAAGUGUGAUGUGCCAGAGGACCCUCAGAGAAAUGCUUUUCUGGAAGAAGCGAUUGCUAAACAGCGAGUGUGUUCUUUGCCCAUACCAAUGUUGCUCUUCCAAAGGCAAAGGACUUAUUUGUAUGUUGUUUCUUUUUAAUCCUCAGGGAGACAUUAGUCUAAGUUAUAACUCACUUUUCGCUUCCAUGCCACCUUUUCCUCAAACUUUGCACCCGUAUAAAAGAUGGUCUUCCAAAAUUCCAAACUAACCAAGAGUUCUAGGCGGCUAGCACCAUCUUCUUUUCACAACGGUGGUCAUAGGGGCGUAUUGUAAACUUUCAGAAUCUGGGACCUCGCCCUAGAGCUAACUACAUUAGAAUCUCCAGAGGAGAUUAGUUUUUGGUCCCGUUAUUUACCUGUUUUGUGAUAUUGUGGUUUACUUUCUCUCUUUGUGCCUUACUUUUCUCAUCAGUAAAAUGGGAUUAACAUAGCCUUGCAAGGUUGUUAUUAGGAUUAAUGAGAUGGCAUCCAUAAAGUGCCAAGCAGAGUUCUUCCUGCUACUACAUACUGGGCAUGGUAUUUCUAAAGAUGCUCACUUUCAUAUAAUUGCACCCCAAGUAAACUCAUUUAAGGAUUAUUUAAGAUGUCUUCAUAAAAAUGCCCUGUUUUUAUGGUCUGAAUCAAGGAAAUGCUGUGGGCAACUUCAUCAUGCAAACUAGUAGAAUGAACACGGGGAGAAUGGACAUCGCCCUCGGAGAACAGACUUUAGGGAAGGAAGGAAAAGCUUCCUGGAUCCAUAUAGUGAAACACUGCCAGCUAUCUAUACAAGCCCAGGAGAUCCAGAAGAGACAAGCUAUUCUGAAAAAAGUCACAGCCUCUUAAAUACUAAAAAGGAAUGAAGAUGACAAGGAUUUGAGAAGACAUGACUAGUAUUUCAUAUUGGCAAAGAAGAUACAAUGUAAAGAUAAUGGGAAUCUUGAAGAAGAACACCAAAACAAGGAAACAGAAGGAAACUAAAUAGUAAGACUUAAGAAAACUGGCCUGAAUUGUAAAAAGGAAAGAAAAAUAUUUGAAACAACAUGUUGAAAGAGCAUAAAAUGUGCUGGAAUGAACACAUGCUAGUAGAUUUUUAGAUUUUAAAGAAAAUGAAACAUGUUUUGGGCACUUCUGUAAAAAGAGCAUGUUGCUUAAUAAGGGAAAGAAAAUUACUUUAUCAUCAGAUUUUUGACAGCCAUGGUUGAUGCCAGAGGCAAAUUGAGUGCCAUGUUUAAGGUCUUCAACGAAGGAAAAUGUGAACUAAAGAUUUUAUUUCCAGCAAAACUUACCUUAAAGUAGAAAGGACCCUGACAAAUGUAUCAACAUGCAAGGACUCAAGGAACAUUGUUCCCAUGAGGGCUUCUCUAUGAAUUUUCUGAAAAAAAAUGUGCUUCGGACAACAAAAUGACUUCAGAAGAAGCAGCAUUAAGAACUGUUACUGAGUAUUAAAUAUAUAGUUACCUGUAGAAUUAGAGUAAAUGAGAGUUAAAAGGCACGGGGCCUACUAUAUGUAAUAGCUAUAUGUUCUGACAAUGUAAAUGUAGUAUAACCAUUAAAAAAUAAAAAGAGAAUAGGAAUCACACAAGCAACAGUUUUUAAAUUGUUUUAAUAAUCAUAACUGGUGGUGACAGUAUUGGUAUUCUGAGACUGUUGUAUUUAUAACAAAGGAUAAAGCAAGUUAUUUUAAUAUAUUCUGUUUUCUCCAGGUCCUUGAGAAUUAGGACGCUCAGAAUUUGAAUUGGAAAUACCAUUAUGCAUUCAUGAGAAUUUUAUCUUCAUUUUAUCUUCAAAUAUUUUUAUUCCCCCUACCCCUAGUUCUAUCUACUAAAAUGGCCAAGAAAACACUCCAGAUCUGGGUCAUAAUAUGGUCAAGAGGAGCCUGGAAUAUUUUUUCAUACCAGAGAGUAAAAAAUUAUCAAAGGCUAUGUAUUAGCUUCCCCGGGUUACCCUAACAAAGUACCAGAAACUGGAAUGUUUAAAACAACAGAUAUUUAUUCUCUCACAGUUCUGGAGUCUGGAAAUUUGAAAUCAAUGCAUCAGAAAGAGUGGUUCUUCAUGGAAGCUCUGUGAAGAAUCUGUUUCAUGAAUUUCUCCUACCUUCUGGUAGUUGCUGGCAAUCCUUGGCUGGUAGAUGCAUUACUCUAAUCUCUGCCUCUAUUUUGUGACAUUUUUCUUGUGUGUCUGUGUGUCCAAAUGUCCUUCUUCUUAUAAGGGCACUAGUCAUAUUGAAUUGAGGGCCUACCCUAGUCCAACACGACCUCUUAAUUUGAUUACAUCUCCCAAGACCCUAUCUCCAAAUAAGGUCAUGAUCAUAGGUUCUGGAUGGACACAAAUUUUGGGAUGAUGCUAUUGAACUCAGUAUGGACUGCUAUGAUCACGUCAAAAUAACUCACUUGAAGAGGCUUUCAUUGGCCAAAAUCUGGAUGAAAUAAAGUAUUUUAUUCCAGAGGAGACUCUUCAACUUGGAUAAUUAUUGGCAGACAAAUAAAUGGAAAAAAAGAAAGUCACAGUCUAAGAUGAAAACUAAAGGGUCAUGAACAUCUGUUCAUUUCAGUGACCUUGGUUGGAGUUUCUGAUAAAUAUAUGCUUUUUGGAGCUUUGGUAAGGAUAAGAAAUGCAAAGAACUGAAACUCAUCAUAUAUGUUUAAAUCUAUGAGUUCAAAAAAAAAAUCUAUGAGUUCAAAAUUAAACACACACACACAUAUGACACAAAAAUUAGUCAGUUUUUGAUAAUCAUAGGAAAUCAAUUUAUUAUCUUGAAAACUGAGGAAAUAAAUGGGAAGAACCAAGCACAUUUCCUGCCUUUCCUCUGUAAUACUAACAGAAGGAAACAUCUCCUCAUACAAUUAUUCCAGCUAAUAAGUGGAAACAAAAUCAUGCAAUUAGAGUAUGCGCAUUUUGCAAACUCUAAUGAAUUAAUGGGUCUAGGCAAUGAGCGUCAUGGGCCACUAACAUCAAAAAGAAUGAAAGCUAACAAAUGAAGUUUUUUAAAAACAAUAAAACAAAAAGAAUGAACACCAGACUUUCAAUGGGAAACACAUACCACGGUUUGCCGAAGGGAUCGGACCAGACUCUGAUCGGACUCUGGAUCCAGCUUUCAGUGUGCAGGACGUACAAGAGGACAGUGGAGCAUGUUGAAUACGUUAUGGAGUUCAGUCUGUAAAACCCACACUACAGGAGAGCGUGUAGGCCACACAGCCCAGGUUCUUCAACAGGAAAAAAAAAAAAAAAAAA